CCACCUUUAGCAUGAGUGGCGUGUUUGGUUUGUUUGUGGCUUUCUUCCAGAUUAACAAAUCUAUCUCAUACUCCACGUAUCCUCAUUAUCACAAGAACUGACACAAAGGACACUGUUUAUUGCUGAAUUCAGAAGACUGGAAGUAAGACUGCAAUUUAAUUUCUUCCAAAGCAAGAAAAUGAAGGUCAAGAGGGAAACAGCUUACAUCCUGAAAAGACUGAGAUCAGAGUAUGCAGGGCUCUACAAAAGUCAUUUACUGUUCACUGUACUCUCCAUCUUAAUAUUCAAGGAAUAAGAGUCUGAAAUUUGGUGACCACGAGGCCAUAAUACAGUUG